CAACAUAUUGUAUUUUUAGCUCAAAGUCUACUGGAGCAAAGGUUUGAGCUCUCUUUUCCACCUAACAGGUAGAGAACUUGACAGAAGAACAAAAAAAUGAGUUCCGCGCUGCGUUCGACAUCUUCGUGCAGGAUGCUGAGGAUGGCUGUAUCAGCACUAAGGAGUUGGGCAAGGUGAUGAGGAUGCUGGGCCAGAACCCCACUCAAGAAGAGCUGCAGGAAAUGGUAGAUGAAGUAGAUGAGGAUGGAAGCGGGACAGUGGACUUUGAUGAGUUCU